rnacentral:rRNA from 1 species
CCUACGAGCGGCUGCAGUGGGGAAUAUUGGACAAUGGGGGCAACCCUGAUCCAGCCAUGCCGCGUGUGUGAAGAAGGCCCUCGGGUUGUAAAGCACUUUCAGUGAGGAAGAACGCCUGGUGGUUAAUACCCAUCAGGAAAGACAUCACUCACAGAAGAAGCACCGGCUAACUCCGUGCCAGCAGCCGCGGUAAUACGGAGGGUGCGAGCGUUAAUCGGAAUUACUGGGCGUAAAGCGCGCGUAGGUGGCUUGAUAAGCCGGUUGUGAAAGCCCCGGGCUCAACCUGGGAACGGCAUCCGGAACUGUCAAGCUAGAGUGCAGGAGAGGAAGGUAGAAUUCCCGGUGUAGCGGUGAAAUGCGUAGAGAUCGGGAGGAAUACCAGUGGCGAAGGCGGCCUUCUGGACUGACACUGACACUGAGGUGCGAAAGCGUGGGUAGCAAACAGGAUUAGAUACCCCAGUAGUC